rnacentral:rRNA from 1 species
CGGCACGGGUGAGUAACGCGUAUGCGACCUGCCCGUUGCAGGGGGGAUAAUCGGGAGAAAUCCCGUCUAAUACCGCGUAACGCCGCGGGGCUGCAUGGCCCUGCGGCCAAAGGGAGCGAUUCCGGCAACGGAUGGGCAUGCGUGACAUUAGCUAGUUGGCGGGGCAACGGCCCACCAAGGCGACGAUGUCUAGGGGUUCUGAGAGGAAGGUCCCCCACGCUGGUACUGAGACACGGACCAGACUCCUACGGGAGGCAGCAG